rnacentral:lncRNA from 10 species
GGUAAUCAGGAUGGCAGUGAGGCAGGCACUUGCUUGCAGAAGAACAGGCCUAGUUUUUUAAGAAGCCACAAAAGUGUCUUUGGAUGAUUAGGAUCUAAGGGGCCAACAGCUUUGCAAUAACAGCAUAAAUAUUGUGGGCUGGAUGGACAGGCACCAAAUGGGGACAUUCCAUCCUGCUGUGUGAUGAGAAAGCUGCCACUUUUGAGGCCUUCCAAAACAAAUCAACACUCCAUAUGCCAGAAGGAAAAGCCCAGGAAAGACCUAUUCCAACUGGAGAUGGAAUACGAAGGGAGAAUGAAACAAAACUGCUCCGCUUAGGGAACUUGGAAAGGAAAUUGAAAAGGCAAGGCACAGGCUGGAAGAAAAUAUUUGAAAAAGAUUUAUGUGAACUUCUUUCUGGAUUAUACAAAAUAUUUUUAGAUAUUCUUACAACUCUAAAAUAAGAUAACUCCUUAAAAAUCUAAAUUCUACCAAAGGAGAGAUAAAGAUGACGAAUACAUUCAAAGAUGCUGAAAAUCACUUAUUUAUUAUUAGGAAGUUACAAGCUAAAGCAUAAUGAGAUACCACUACAACCUACUAAACUGACUAAAAUUAAUCAGACUAACCAGGUGUUGGCAAGAAACAGGGACACUGAGACUCUCACACUGCUGGAAGGAAUGUAAAAUGCUAAAACUUCUUUGGAAAUGAGUUCAGUAACUUUUUAAACAGUUGAAAAUAGACCUAUCAUGCAAACCAGCAAUCCCACUUCCAGGUAUUUAUACAAGGAAAAUGACAACAUAUGCCCACAUAAAGACUUGUGCACAAAUGACCGUAGCAGCUUUGUGAUAAUUGCUAAAAACUAGAAACUUGUCAAGUGUCCAACAGGUGAGUGGACAAACUCACUAUAGUAUAUCCAUACAAUUAAGUACUAAAUAGCAAUAAAAAGGAACUAUUAAUAC